rnacentral:rRNA from 1 species
UACGGAGGGUGCAAGCGUUGCUCGGAUUUACUGGGCGUAAAGCGUACGCAGACGGUGAGAAAGGUCGGAUGUGAAAGCCCCGGGCUCAACCCGGGAACUGCAUCCGAAACCAUCUCGCUCGAGUGUGGGAGAGGGAAGCGGAAUUCCUGGUGUAGAGGUGAAAUUCGUAGAUAUCAGGAGGAACACCGGCGGCGAAGGCGGCUUCCUGGCCCAUUACUGACGUUCAGGUACGAAAGCGUGGGUAGCAAACAGG